GAUGAACGCUGGCGGCGUGCCUAAUACAUGCCAGUCGAGCGAACGGACGAGAAGCUUGCUUCUCUGAUGUUAGCGGCGGACGGGUGAGUAACACGUGGAUAACCUACCUAUAAGACUGGGAUAACUUCGGGAAACCGGAGCUAAUACCGGAUAAUAUUUUGAACCGCAUGGUUCAAAAGUGAAAGACGGUCUUGCUGUCACUUAUAGAUGGAUCCGCGCUGCAUUAGCUAGUUGGUAAGGUAACGGCUUACCAAGGCAACGAUGCAUAGCCGACCUGAGAGGGUGAUCGGCCACACUGGAACUGAGACACGGUCCAGACUCCUACGGGAGGCAGCAGUAGGGAAUCUUCCGCAAUGGGCGAAAGCCUGACGGAGCAACGCCGCGUGAGUGAUGAAGGUCUUCGGAUCGUAAAACUCUGUUAUUAGGGAAGAACAUAUAUGUAAGUAACUGUGCACAUCUUGACGGUACCUAAUCAGAAAGCCACGGCUAACUACGUG
rnacentral:rRNA from 1 species